AUGGAUCUUUAGGGUUUGUUUCUCUUUUUUGUUCGGUGGCUGACUUCUGAUCUUCAUCUCUAUCUCUGAAACGCUCAGUUAUGUCUUCUUCACGUCUUCAUCUCUUUGAUACUCCGGCGUUACAAUCAAAAUUCGUGGCCAAGUAUUGAUUCUUUUCAUCUUACCGCCGUAUUAUCUCCACCGAUUUAUGUAAAUUGAUUGUUAUCUGACCAUAUCAUGAUGGAAUCCAGCAUCUGUUUCUUAUCGUCUGGCUUUCUACUUACUGAAUUUGGCUGAUUCCAAGCGUCAUAUUUAAGGCACUCAUUAACAAUCUUUCCUCAAUUACUUCUUUCCUGGGCAUUCUUGACUAUAAAUAGUGUAUUGCAGGCGACCCUUAUGCAAGCCACCGUCAACGUACAAUUUGUCACCAUCACCGUCAAGCGGACUGUUCAGAAUCGUCAGAUGUAGCUUUGGUCAUUAAGGCGUUGAAAGAGCUGGAAAGAGACUGUAAACAAAGUUAAGAACAUGACGCACAAGACUACAAGAGUAAUAUUCUAUUAUUUUAUUGAGAUUGCUACGAUGGGGCGUAAAUAUAUUGCGAUAGAGCUGAGUGGGACAGUUAGGGAGAUUCUGGAAACAUGUGUCGUUGCUGGAUGCACUGUUGAUGGAACUGAUUUGAAGGAUCUUUGGCAGGAUAUUCAAGAAGGUGAGAUCAAUAUUCAUGAUUACCAAGGUAAAAAAAUGCACACAGAAAAAAAGAUUUUAUGGGUAUUGCAAAGAUGAUGUCUACUCUUCUACACAUUUUUAUAAGAGCUUUUGUACACUGAAAAAACGCUGAGUUAGUUUGAGAAAAGGAGUAGCAGAGCUAAGGGUCCGACCUUCCACCCCAGAAAACCAAAAAAUCUCACCAAUUUUCUCAGAGGUAGCAAUGGUAUUAUCUAAUGGGUUCGUUCGUUCUCAGUCUACAGAGUUUCUUCCUCUCAAAAUGUAAGAUAAGAAAUAUAUGUACAUGUUAAAAACUGCACACUACAGAGAUUUAUUGGAUUUUUAUAUG